rnacentral:rRNA from 1 species
AUACGGGAGGCAGCAGCUAAGAAUAUUCCGCAAUGGACGAAAGUCUGACGGAGCGACGCCGCGUGGAUGACGAAGGCCGAAAGGUUGUAAAGUCCUUUUGUUGGGGAAGAAUAACCAUGGGAGGGAAUGCCCGUGGGAUGACAUGAACCGACGAAUAAGCCCCGGCUAACUACGUGCCAGCAGCCGCGGUAACACGUAGGGGGCGAGCGUUGUUCGGAAUUACUGGGCGUAAAGGGCAUGUAGGCGGCUCUAUAAGCCCGGCGUGGAAGCCCAUGGCUCAACCGUGGGAUUGCGCUGGGAACUGCAGGGCUUGAAUCAUGGAGAGGGAGCUAGAAUUCCUGGUGUAGGGGUGAAAUCUGUAGAGAUCAGGAAGAAUACCAGUGGCGAAGGCGAGCUCCUGGCCAAUGAUUGACGCUGAGGUGCGAAAGUGUGGGGAUCAAACAGGAUUAGAUACCCCGGUAGC